ACUCCUGCGGGAGGCAGCAGUGGGGAAUUUUGGACAAUGGGCGAAAGCCUGAUCCAGCCAUGCCGCGUGCAGGAUGAAGGCCUUCGGGUUGUAAACUGCUUUUGUACGGAACGAAACGGCCUUUUCUAAUAAAGAGGGCUAAUGACGGUACCGUAAGAAUAAGCACCGGCUAACUACGUGCCAGCAGCCGCGGUAAUACGUAGGGUGCAAGCGUUAAUCGGAAUUACUGGGCGUAAAGCGUGCGCAGGCGGUUAUGUAAGACAGUUGUGAAAUCCCCGGGCUCAACCUGGGAACUGCAUCUGUGACUGCAUAGCUAGAGUACGGUAGAGGGGGAUGGAAUUCCGCGUGUAGCAGUGAAAUGCGUAGAUAUGCGGAGGAACACCGAUGGCGAAGGCAAUCCCCUGGACCUGUACUGACGCUCAUGCACGAAAGCGUGGGGAGCAAACAGGAUUAGAUACCCCAGUAGUCCCAUG
rnacentral:rRNA from 1 species